UAAAUUUCAAAUAAUAUAUGGUAUUCCAGUAUAGAUAUUUGAUUAUAUUUUUUUCCAACAAAUAUCGGAUCGUUGGCGCUAACCAUUAAUUUCAAAAGCUCAAGCUAUUAGAAAUACGCAACCAAUUUACUUAAAAUGUACAGAUACAAUGUUCACGGGUCUCAAUUAUGACUCGGUCCAACCAGCCUCACUCCACUUCGAACAUGACUCGGCCCACCAAACCUUACGAUAUUUCGAAUAUAACUCGGCUCAAUAUGACCUCUUACUAUAGAACAGGAUACUAGCUCAUGUAAGCUAACAAUAAAUACUAUAACCUUCUUUAGUAAAUU
rnacentral:lncRNA from 1 species